rnacentral:rRNA from 1 species
AGUGAUGCUCUCGCCUAUCCACACUGUACAACUGC